rnacentral:rRNA from 1 species
GACGAACGCUGGCGGCGUGCUUAACACAUGCAAGUCGAACGGAAAGGCCCUGCUUUUGUGGGGUGCUCGAGUGGCGAACGGGUGAGUAACACGUGAGUAACCUGCCCUUGACUUUGGGAUAACUUCAGGAAACUGGGGCUAAUACCGGAUAGGAGCUCCUGCUGCAUGGUGGGGGUUGGAAAGUUUCGGCGGUUGGGGAUGGACUCGCGGCUUAUCAGCUUGUUGGUGGGGUAGUGGCUUACCAAGGCUUUGACGGGUAGCCGGCCUGAGAGGGUGACCGGCCACAUUGGGACUGAGAUACGGCCCAGACUCCUACGGGAGGCAGCAGUGGGGAAUAUUGUACAAUGGGCGGAAGCCUGAUGCAGCAACGCCGCGUGCGGGAUGACGGCCUUCGGGUUGUAAACCGCUUUCGCCUGUGACGAAGCGUGAGUGACGGUAAUGGGUAAAGAAGCACCGGCUAACUACGCG